rnacentral:rRNA from 1 species
GCUGAACGCUAGCGGCAGGCCUAAUACAUGCAAGUCGAACGGUUUAGCAAUACACUGUGGCGCACGGGGGCGUAACACGUAUGCAACCUACCUAUUAUCGGGGGAUAGCCUUUGGAAACGGAGAUUAAUACCGCAUACGACAGGGAGAUGGCAUCAUCUAGCUGUUAAAGCUUUGGCGAUAAUAGAUGGGUAUGGGUCCAAUUAGUUAGUUGGUGAGGUAAUGGCUCACCAGGACGAUGAAUGGUAGGGGAUCUGAGAGGAUAAUCCCCCACACUGGCACUGAGAAACGGGCCAGACUCCUACGGGAGGCAGCAGUAGGGAAUAUUGGGCAAUGGACGGAAGUCUGAGCCAGCCAUGCCGCGUGCAGGAAGAAGGCGUUAUGCGUUGUAAACUGCUUUUUUAUAGGAAAAAGAGACCCUUGCGAGGGGCAGUGACGGUACUAUAAGAAUAAGCACCGGCCAACUACGUGCCAGCAGCCGCGGUAAUAC